CAACACUUAGUACUACCCACUGCUAUGCUCAAAUUUUAAGCCCUUGUUGUCCUACCCCGUGACAACAUACUUUGUUCAAUUUGCUUGGUUUCAUAAAUUAACAAUAUUUUACCCUAGACUCAAAGGUCUUAGAAUCUUGACGGUGGUCCUUCAUUAGUAUGGUCUGUAUUAGAACAACCGUAAGCCUUCACAAAGGUUUCUGCAUGACCUAACCUCCCCUGAACAUUUUUUUAAUCCUAAAUGACAUGUGCGCACUACAAACAAAAUUAUCUAAAAUAUACAAACCAACGAGUAGGUAAAUUCUUUGUUCACAAAGGCUUCUGCAUGACCUAAC
rnacentral:lncRNA from 1 species